AUCAGUCACUGUGCAUCUGGAACCCAGAAAACCUUUGGUAAAUGCCUGUCAGGUAAAGUAAGGGAAUCACUUAACUGAUUAAACUCUGCAAAGUAAAAAUUACUCCCAUUUUCUAGAGGAAGAAAUUGGAAUUUGGGGAGGUAAGUAAGUGUGCCAAAUUGUUACAAGAAAGAAGGGUAGACCCCAGGUCCUUCUCACUGGACUCAGUGUAUACCUCUCCUGGGCACUGGGGGAUAUGGAGUAGAAACAGUGCAAGGGACUCCCACUGUUCCUCACUGUCUACAUGUGGGGAGGAGAAGCUGGGGCUUGAGAAGAAGCCUCCCCUCAAGGAGGAGGGAUGCACUGAGCUAGUCAUGGAAAAACAGCAGCAAAGGGGCCACUGCAAAGGAAGGGACACUGACAGGGAGGGACUCAUGAACUAAGAAGCAGAAACAAGAAUGUGCUGGUGCUCAGAAAGGUACUGAGAGGACCAUUCUGGCCAGAUGUGGGAGCACUCAUUUUAGGGAUGUGUGGAGGGAGACUUGGAAUUCUGCGUUUGUUUGACUCCAGUCUUUGAUAUAGUUGGACCAUGGAAAGCCUGGAAUGACAAAUUAUGGAAGCUUAUUACCAUGUAUAGGUCAAGGUCAAAACAUGGGCCAUAUUUCCAGAGAUGUAGAUAGGCCUGUUUGGGGAAAAUUCUUUCUUGAUGUUAGGCAAGUUCUGGCUGGCCUUUCCUCACCAUUGUGGUGGUUAACUGGAGAUUUAGAUUUGGGGUUGGGGAGAUAAAGGAGACUAGCUCUUUUGAUAUGCUUACCUACCACCAGAACUGGGGAAAAUGUCUCCACACAGUACCUGGCAUAUACUUUCCUUACAAGUCCCUAGAAUGUUUUGCAACAGAAUUCAAAGAUGCAAGAUCCUAUAGCCAUGACAGUUAAUUUUUAACCUUUCUUUCAUCCAAAGUCCAACAAGAAGGAGCCAGUGAAUAUUUUAGCAGAAUUGUCACUUGAAGAAAAGUGUUGUGCGGAAACAUUGACCUUGACCUCAUGGCUCAGCAUGGCUCAGAGAAGAGGCCCAGAGGCAGACAGACCAGGUCUCCAGCUCCUGGCACUUCUUACCAGUAUCAGCUGCACCACUGCUGCUUUUACGCUUGUGUCUGGACAUCCUGGGCUUGAAAUAAAGAUGCUGCACUACUGUACUCUACACAGGACUGAAUAAUAAAGUACAGAAGAGAACAACCACUUGUAGCGGAUGCAAACAUGUGACGAUGUACGCCAGACAUGGAAACUAACUUACGUGGUUAGAUAUGCCAAUCCUCCUUGAUGCUCUUGAUCUACAUGAUGAACUAGCACCCUGCACCACAGAGUAGAACCCCUGUUUGGCCCAGGACUCAGGAAGUUGAAGUCAGGGACAUGGGAGAAGCUGGAGGGGAUGGAAGACCUGACUAUAUCCCAUAUCAAUGAAGUAACUGAGCAGAGCAGCAACAAUGUGCAUGAGCUACAACAGUGCCUGCCUUAUUGACCUUUAGAAUGCAAAAAAAAAAAAAAGAAAAAAAUGCUCUCCUUUAUGUCCCCCUUCCCAAACUCACAUGACCCUAACUUUUGGUCAAUUCCAACUUGGAAUCACAUACAGAAGGGAAUUACAACUGUAACUUUGCAUUUUAACCCUAAUUUGGAACCAUAUAGAGAAGGGAAUUCUGGAAUUUGUAGUUCCAUCUUAGCUAAACUGAUACAAUGCAAAUCACAUUAUCAAUUUCUCUUAUCACUCAUCAGAAAACUGAAGACAGAGAAGGAAUAUAACUUAAUCAAAGUCACACAGCAAAUCUGCAGAAGACUGACAAGGGCCUGGACCUAUUCUUUCCUACAUCUAUCCUUCAAGCCUCUGGUUACUGCAAAUAUCUUAAGAAUGUGUCCAUCUGAAUAUUCUUUGGACCUAUAGACAGAAGGUUCAAGGGGGCAAUUACUGAAGUCCUGCUAGCUCCCUGCUACUCUGUUCCUAGGCAGGGAGGAGUCCCUAUUCUUACACUGCUCACUGAGAAGACAACUGCAUCAGUAAGGACAAUAGAAGGCUGAAGAGACAUCCUUCAAGAGAAAAACAAUGGUAGUGUUUUGGGGUGGAGCUUGAUGAAAAAUGGGACAUCAAGAUGACAUCAGGGCCUUAGGCCCUUUUGCUUAAUAUGAAGAAUCCAUCAAGUCCAACUCCUAUCUCUCCACUCUCUUAUCCCUUCAUACUCUGCCCUGGUGAAGCAAGAGAUAUAAUUUUUCUGGAACUGAGGGGCUUCCCAGGAUGUAGUGCUACAACUGGAAAUCUCCAGCAAACUAGAGUGAGUUGGUCACCUCAAAGGCCAACAAAAUUUACCCAAGGGAAACAACAGGUAAAUAGAAAUGCCAGCUUUGGAAUCAUACAGUCUUUUCCUGGCUAUUAUGACCCUGUAACUCUCAGCUCAACAAGCGCAAGAAAUUCUCAUAAGCAAUAAGCAAGCCAAUAAAAGGAAACAAGACUCUCCAGUCAUCCUCAACUCUCCUCAGAAGUUCUUGAACUUCUAUUCCCACUUGGAUUCUGAAAUCUUUUAAACUCUCAUCUGUUUCCCCACAAUGUAUCAAAGUCCUGUUGGACUCGGUUUUAUGUUUGGCCUCUGGAUUUUACUGUAGCUUUUUCACUGACUUUGGCCUCGCUAUUGCCUUCCUGAUUCUUCCCAAUUAAGAAGACCUAGAGGAGGACACCCAUACUCAAAGCACCCAGGACCUCCAAGACAGAAGGACCUUGAGCAGAAAAGAAGGUUCAGUUCAGUUCAGUUCAGUCGCUCAGUCAUGUCCGACUCUUUGCGGAGGCCUUAUUUGGUCUCUAGUACUGAGGCAGCCACUUAAAAAAUUCUCCAACUCUUUGGUUGAAAAGUUUGAAAUAAUCAUGGAUGCUUAUCAAGACCUUUAGCUUCCACCAUACAAACAUCAUAUCAGAUGAAUCACCUUCCGGAUCUACUAACCAGGGUCUUUGUUUGGCUUGCACAACUAAAAUUAGCAGCCCAUUCACAUUCCAUAAUGGCUGGGGAAUUAACUCAUACACAUGGGACAAAGGAGAAGGAUCCAAAGAGGGGCCUCUUCCCUAAGUCUCAUCCGUGAGAUUCUUCUCAUUAAAGAGGCGCUCUCAAGCGUCCAAUUUGCCGCAAUUAUAGCAAUCAAAAAAGCAUUCAGCUUCCUUCCGCACCUGACAAGCCAGCUCAUCCAUUCUCUCUAACAGUGGUGGGCUGGAUGCUAAUGCAGCUCCCACCCGCCUUGUUCCAGCUACAGCCAGCAGCAAUCCCACCCGACUCCCACCCUUACAGCUGGGGCUGGUUAACAGUCCCAAAUACUCAGUCAGGUUGAUACUGUAUAGUAGACCUGUGCCUGUCCCUGAUACCAUAUAGUAGACCUGUGUCUGACCCACCUGGGGUUCAUGGUUCUCCAGAGAAAGAGCCCUUGCUGUUGGCUUAUAUAUCUUUAUCCCCAAAGGCUGGAAGAUAACUGAUUCUAGGCAACCUCCUCCAUUCUGUGAGUUUCUGACGGCUGAUAAAGAAGCUCCUGCUGAGAUAACAGGUGCAGGUGGAGCGCCGUGGAGAUGCUGGGGCUUGUCUGAUUACUGCUUUGUGCCAGCCUCCAUGGCACUUGAAUGGGAGCUUUGUGAGUGUACAGUCUCCCCAGAUUGUGGGGACCGGCUGCUGUUGAUGGCGGAGUGGAGAUCUGCUGAUUAAAGGCCCAUUAACAAAGCGCAAAUAACUCUCAACUUCCUCUUCUCACCUGCUUCUUUGUUUUAGUCUAAUGGCUCUUGGGGAGCUGAAAAUGUUAUUUAAUUAUUCCUAACCCCCAUGCUGAUGCUAUGAUGACUCCUUCUAGAGCAUGCCGUCCCCAGCAAGCCAUCUGUAAACAUACUUAGGAACUGCUCCAGGCUUGGCAAUAGAUAUAAGAAGUCUGCAGCCACUCCAAACAGUCAGGCUGGUAUUGAGUCAUGUACGUGGACCACCUCUGUGCUACUCCCUUGAAACAGUCUGGCUGCACUGUGACACGUUUCCAACUACCUUUGAGGCGAACUGACCACAGCUUUUGGGUUAUUACUCACUAUGUUUCUCUCAAUGUCCACUGAGAGUCUUUGGAAAACAAUAAGCAAAUAUUUAUUGUUGUUAUGUAUGGUCACUGAGCCCCAUGGGACAUUCCCUCACCUUUUCUGUGUCUAUAAAAUGUGGAUAAUGGGAAUAAUCAGACUCUCUUCAGAGGGUUGUUAUGAGUCACAAAUAAGAUAAUGUCUGCAGUAUAUGUCAUGCUCCAUUGAGUUGGUGCUCAAUUGAAGAUCACUAUUAUUUCAUUAUUGUUUCUGUCACAUCAAUUGUUAGUUUUUUUUAAAACUUUCUCCAGAAUGUCUCCCAGUCUAAUGAUAAGUUCUCCUAGAGCAAGGCACACUUCUAGAUUUUUCUAUUUGCCACACAGUGUACCAGGCAGCUGGAAUGUGAAACAAGGACUCGUGGAGCUGGAAGCCUCAGGCUAGAGCCCCGGCUCUGCCUGUCCCUCUCUGGCUGUCCACCAUCAGAUAUCCUUUGGUCUCUUCUCUGCCCUCACUCUUCCUUCCUUCCUUAAGUACCUUAAAAAACAACCCUUCCCUUGGCCUCACCUGUUAAAAUCCCACCCUUCUUCCAGCUCAAAUCAAAUGUCUCACCUUCCGGAAUCCCUGCUCUGGUUGCCCCAGUCUACAAUGGCCUCUCCCAGACUGCUCAUCUCUUUGUCUUAGCACCACAAAGCUUAGUAAUUGCCUGUUAAAAGCCUCACUUCAAUGGAUAAAAAAAUGCAGUCUUUACCUUUUUGCAACACUUCUUCCCCUACUAUGUUCUCUACACUUAUGCAGCUCUUUAGGGCAAAGAUUGACAAUAAGUGGCCCAGUGGCCAAAUCUGAUUUGUUUUCUUACUUUGUCUGACCUAGAGAUAAGAACAAUUUGGGUAAUUUAAAUGGUUGGAAAAAAUCAAAAGAAGAAUUAUUAUUUGAUGACACAUGAAAAUUAUAUGAAGUUUAAAGUUGAACGUCCAUAAAUAAAGUUUUAU